GAUGAACGCUGGCGGCGUGCCUAAUACAUGCAAGUCGAGCGAACAGACGAGGAGCUUGCUCCUCUGACGUUAGCGGCGGACGGGUGAGUAACACGUGGAUAACCUACCUAUAAGACUGGGAUAACUUCGGGAAACCGGAGCUAAUACCGGAUAAUAUAUUGAACCGCAUGGUUCAAUAGUGAAAGACGGUUUUGCUGUCACUUAUAGAUGGAUCCGCGCCGCAUUAGCUAGUUGGUAAGGUAACGGCUUACCAAGGCGACGAUGCGUAGCCGACCUGAGAGGGUGAGCGGCCACACUGGAACUGAAACACGGUCCAGACUACUACGGGAGGCAGCAGUAGGGAAUCUUCCGCAAUGGGCGGAAGCCUGGCGGAGCAACGCCGCGUGAGUGAUGAAGGUCUUCGGAUCGUAAAACUCUGUUAUUAGGGAAGAACAAAUGUGUAAGUAACUAUGCACGUCUUGACGGUACCUAAUCAGAAAGCCACGGCUAACUACGUG
rnacentral:rRNA from 1 species